rnacentral:rRNA from 1 species
UACAGGGGGGGCAAGCGUUGUUCGGAAUUACUGGGCGUAAAGGGCCAGUAGGCGGCCAACUAAGUCGCACGUGAAAUCCCCAGGCUUAACCUGGGAACUGCGUGUGAUACUGGAUGGCUUGAAUUCGGGAGAGGGAUGCAGAAUUCCAGGUGUAGCGGUGAAAUGCGUAGAUAUCAGGAGGAACACCGGCGGUGUAGACGGCUUUCUGGACCGUAGCUGACGCUGAGACACGAAAGCGUGGGUAGCAAACAGG